rnacentral:lncRNA from 1 species
GGGCCUCCGGAAUCCCAGUGAAAGAACUUGUUUAAAGAAACAUCAGCUCGGUUUAUUUCAUACACAGCUACUUUUUGUAGAUACUGAGGUUUUGUUGAGAUGUUGGGGUGUACGUGCUGUGUGAGGUUUUGUUGCGAUGUUGGGGUGUGCGUGCCGUGUGAGGUUUUGUUGAGAUGUUGGGGUGUGUGUGCUGUGUGAGGUUUUGUUGAGAUGUUGGGGUGUGCGUGCCGUGUGAGGUUUUGUUGCGAUGUUGGGGUGUACGUGCCGUGUGAGGUUUUGUUGAGAUGUUGGGGUGUAUGUGCCGUGGGAGGUUUUGUUGAGAUGUUGGGUGUGUGCUGUGUGAGGUUUUGUUGAGAUGUUGGGGUGUGCCUGCUGUGUGAGGGCCGGCCUUGUUUCUGUUUACUGAUGCCUCC